rnacentral:rRNA from 1 species
CUUUAAGGAUACUCCCAGUGACANACUGGAGGAAGGCGGGGACGACGUCAAGUCAUCAUGGCCCUUACGACCAGGGCUACACACGUGCUACAAUGGUCGGUACAAAGGGUUGCUACCUAGCGAUAGGAUGCUAAUCUCAAAAANCCGAUCGUAGUCCGGAUUGGAGUCUGCAACUCGACUCCAUGAAGUCGGAAUCGCUAGUAAUCGCGGAUCAGAAUGCCGCGGUGAAUACGUUCCCGGGCCUUGUACACNCCGCCCGUCACACCAUGGGAAUUUGUUGCGCCAGAAGUAGGUAGUCUAACCGCAAGGAGGACGCUUACCACGGUGUGGCCGAUGACUGGGGUGAAGUCGUAAACAAGGUAACC